CAAAUGACCUCUCACCCAUGCUCCUGUAUGUAACACUAAUAAAACUCCCUCCCUCCCAAAUGGGGAUGUGAAAGGGGACCUAGCUGGGGGGGCGGGGCAGAAAGAUUGAUGGGAAAGGGAUAAUGUUCUUGUACGUGGUAAAGAUUUGUCACUCAUAUUGGCUUAAUAAAACACAGGCCAGCAGCCAGACAGGAAGUAUAAGUGGGGUGACCAGAAAAAGAGAAUUCUGGGAAGAGUCAGUCAUCAGCCAGACGCAGAGGAAGCAAGAGGAGAAUGUCUCUCUGUGAAAAGAGGUUCCAGGGACUAAACUCAAGACAUGGGCUGGGCAGCAGACACCUCUGCCCAGUGAACAAUCUCACUGACUCCUGAGUUUGACUGGGAACUUACAAUUUUUCUGCUUAAGCUUCCAAAGCACCAAGAUUACAGGCACAGGACACCAUGUGCAGCCUUGUCACUACUGAAGGAGUCUUUUGCCUUGGAAGUAUGCAGCAAGUGGCCUCACAAAUUCUUCAUUGACUAGGCACAUAUAUACGGUGAUUCUUAACUGCACAGGAUGAGUCAUUUGUAUGAAAAGCAACUACAGAGGGCUGGAGAGAUGGCUCAGGAGCUGAAAGUGGACACUGACCACUCCUGCAGACGACCUGACUUCGGCUCCUGGGCUCACAAACACCUCUAACUCCAGCUCUGGUGGAUCUGAUGCCCUGUCCAGUCUUCGGGGCUGCUGAUCUUCCAGGAAGAGUUCUGACUCAAGAGUGUUCACGACUAGUCACCAUACCUAUAGAAGUCAGUAUUAAGUGACCCCAGAAUCCAAUGUGGGAGAAUUUCUUCCUUAUCUGUAUUGAAGAAUAAGCAGGCGACCAAGCUCUAUAGUAAUCACCAGAAGCAAAAAUGAAAGUGAAGAAGAGAGCUAACGGUUUAGUUUUGAGAGAACUACCUGUCAGGGUAUUAACAAAAGAGCAUCCACUAAAUUAAACUACGUCCCCACUUGGUUUUACUCCAUAUCAGUGAUUUUUCCCAAAUACUGAUUUUUAGCAAUAAGGAAUCAAGAGUCAUAGGACGGUGGUGACACAUGCCUUUAAUUCCUGCACUCGGGAGGCUGAGACAGGUGGAUCUUUGUGAGUUCGAGACCAGCCUGAUCUAAAAGAGCUAGUUCCAGGACAGGCUCUAAAGCUACAGAGAAGCCCUGUUUUGAACACCCCGCCCACCCAAAAGGCAUUAAGAGUCAAAAGGCUCCAGACACAUAUGUACCUAAGGAAACACAGCUUUAAAGGAGCCAAGGCUACUGGUAGGCACUGCCACUGAAGAAAAUACAGAGCCAUCCACAGCGAUGUCUAUACAAGAGAAAACAACAGGCCAGACUUUUAGUACUUUAGAAAUUGUACUAAAACGUACAAUUUCUGCCCCAUUUUAAAAUAAAACCGCCCAAACUUAAACAUAAACAGGUGUCUAGUAGCAAAUCUUUCACAUCUUUUUAAAUUUAAUUUCUACCAGAGUUACAGGCUUUUGUUGAAAUGAUGAUAUUAAGACUAUGUCUCUUAAGUAGACCUUCUCAAAGGAUAGCAUCUAAUGAUUAUGAUUUUUAAUAAAAGUUGGGUCAAUUUUAUAAUAUACCCCAUCCUUCCACACUGCGUUUAGAAGGGAGAAUGCUAAUGCUUCAGGCACAUAGAAUUUUUCCUACUUUGAUCCCCAAAUGUUAAAAAAGGCCAGGAGUGAAGUGUGUUAAAGAGCACUGUCUGUAAAGCCAGCGACCCUUCAGGUAAGGAUCCAUGUCUCACAGGCAGUGUGCAGAACUGGGCUGCGUAAAGUCUUUCUGCAGGAAACUGUGCCACCUAGUGUCAAAAACUGUCCAUACAUCACACAAGAUGAGAUUAAAUUUUAGCCAGUGGAAUUAUUUCUUUUUUGCUGUUGCUGAGAUAGGGGCUCAUGUAGGUUAGUGUACUCUAGAACUUCUCAUGUAGCUGAGGGGCCUCCAAUGUGCUGAGAUUAUAGGCAUGUGCCACCAUACUCAGUUUUCUUAUUUAAAUAUAAGACUUUAUAAAUCCUUAACAGCACACAAUAGACUAUAUAAUCACCUUCUUGUCUGAUUUUUUUUU